rnacentral:lncRNA from 10 species
GCGGAUCACCUGAGGUCGGGAGUUCAAGACCAGCCUGACUAACAUGGAGAAAUGCCGUCUCUGCUAAAAAUACAAAAUUAGCCGGGUGUGGUGAUGCAUGCCUGUAAUCCCAGCUACUCAGGAGGCUGAGGCAGGAGAAUCACUUGAACCUGGGAGGUGGAGGUUGCAGCGAGCCGAGAUCACACCAUUGCACUCCAGCCUGGGCAACAAGAGCGAAACUCCGUCUCAAAAAAAAAGGACUUUUCUUUGUAUAAAUCAUUUACUCUAGAGAAACCUUGCCUAAAUAAUAGCAGCUAUGUAAAUCAUAUGUAAGUUUUGUGAAUAUCUAACUCAUGCAGUGGUUCUUUUUGGAAUUUGCUAUUUUUCCCUUCCUUUUGGCCAGCUUCUCUAUGUAUUCUUGCAAAAAUAUUUCCUGUAGCUGUCUGGCUUGAUGGGAAAAUUAAUCAUGGGAUUAGUAAGAGAAACUUGCUUGCUAAAUUGAUUCUUUGGAAGCACUUAGAUACUUUUUGCUCUUUAUGAAGAUAUUGAAGUAUUGCCAAGAUAUGAGACUUCGAAAAUGUGGCUCACAGUUGCAGACAGAACAACUGUUGUUUAACAGAACAACGUGGGCUUUCAUGAUGUAUGUACCUUUCUCUUUCUUUUGUUGCAUGUGGGGGACAGUAUUGCUUCAACUAAUGUUUAUUACUUUAAAACACGAAAGGUAUGAGGAAGUAAACCAAAACAGUCCACAGUCUUCAAACAGGACCUAGGGUGGCAAAAUCAGUGAAAGCUGAGUGAGCACACAGAGCAGGAGGGCAUGGCACGUCCCUGUGUGCUUCCUUUGGGCCUCAAAUUCUUCAUGUGGCAGGUCCAGUUGGUGACGCUGCCUGUGAUCUCAGACGCUUGAUUCUUGCUGUCACAUGAGACGUCUUAAACUUGGGUCAUACAUCAUUGAGGAAUCAUUUAAGUUCUCACCUCUGGCUGCGUAGUAGAAUUACUUGGGGAGUUUUUUAAACUCCCAAAGUCAGGCUGCACCUCACGUUAAUUAAGUCAGCGUCCUUGGGGUUAGACCCAGAUAACAGUAUUUUUCAAGGCCUCCCGGGUUAAUUCCAGUGCACCAUCAGAGCCAAGCACUGUUGAGUUGUGUCUUCUGUUGAGUAUUUAUAAAUGUUGAACUUGAGUGGUUCACGAAACAAACGGGAUCAGCAUAUCCACUUUCUCACUGGGGCAAGCAGGGGGAGGGAGGGGAAGCAGAGCGGUGCCCCGGUAGAGAUGUAAAUGAACAGUGAAAAGACUUUCUCCACGGCCUCUAAAGGUAACCACUAUUGGCUUUUGUGUGCAUACAUGCACACAUUCAUGUGUAUGUAUUUUAUUUACAUUAAAUUGCGUAUAUUUGUGUCGAUAUUUACACAGUGGGAUUAUACCAUAUAAUUGAUAACUAAACAUUUCCAUAUCAUUCUUUCAAAAAGCUUAAGUAACAUUUCAUCAUAGGAAUAUGCUCCUAAUGGUUACUUACUUACUUACUUUUCGUUAGAAAGAAUAUACUGGCUGGGCGCAGUGGCUCGUGCCUGUAAUCCCAGCACUUUGGGAGGCCAAGGUGGGUGGAUCAUGAGGUCAGGAGAUCGAGACCAUCCUGGCCAACAUGGUAAAACCCCAUCUCUACUAAAAAUACAAAAAUUAGCUGGGCGUGGUGGUGGGCUCCUGUAAUCCCAGCUACUUGGGAGGCUGAGGCAGGAGAAUCACUUAACCCCAGGAGGCAGAGGUUGCAGUGAGCCGAGAUCACACCACUGCACUCCAGACUGGUGACAGAGCGAGACUCCGUCUCAAAGUAUACUGUGAAGAUUAAUACAUACCACACAUGAUUUUCCGAUUAAAUCCAGAGUGUAAAUUGUUAACAGUGAAUAUUGAUAGGUCAAA